rnacentral:rRNA from 1 species
UACAGAGGGGGCAAGCGUUGUUCGGAAUUACUGGGCGUAAAGGGCGCGUAGGCGGCCUGCUAAGUCGAACGUGAAAUCCCUGGGCUCAACCCAGGAACUGCGUCCGAUACUGGUUGGCUUGAAUCCGGGAGAGGGAUGUGGAAUUCCAGGUGUAGCGGUGAAAUGCGUAGAUAUCUGGAGGAACACCGGUGGCGAAGGCGGUUCUCUGGGCCUUACCUGACGCUGAGGAGCGAAAGCGUGGGGAGCGAACAGG